GGCUGCAAGAAGGAGGAACAAAUUAGAAAGAACUGAAUGCAUGCACCAAACAGAUCCAGUAAAUAUUAAGGAGAUUGAAUUGACUACAUGGCUGGAGUACCAGAUGAAGAUGGCACUCACUGCACCCUAUCACAGACUCAGGCUCAGGAUCCUUGGGCCUGAUGAAGCUGCAUUUACACUGACGAUCUGGCCCUUGGUCUUAAAAAGUGUGCCUCUGAAAGAAACCCUGAGUGGUGGUGGAGAUCCUCACACAGCACCCUCCUACAUUGAGCCCCGCUGGAGAAAGCAGCAUUCUGACUCUAUUUAUGAAAAAUCAGUGACGAGGGAACACACCCUGGAAAUAACUUGGAUUGUAAGCUCCUUGGGGGGAAAAGGUGGCCUUUUUUCUGUGUUUACACAGUGCCUAGUAUAAUGGGCUCCCGGUUGGGCUUCUAGAUGCUACUGCAAUAGAAAUAUUUGUAGCUGGUUUGUAGUUCUACUGCAAUAGAAAUAAGAAAUAAUACCAAUAACUACAAAAGAGGCAAUGUUUUUAUUAAUAUAGGGCUAACUUCUACAGUAUCUAUUGAAAUAACUCUCAUUCUUCCAGUGGGAGUUUUGCCUGGGGAGGACUGCAUCAUUUGGCUGAUAUGUUGUUUUUAAAAAAAAAACACAUUCUUUCAGACCCUUAUGAUUCCUUCUCUAUCUUUACUCACAUUUACAGCCACAUAAACACUGAGUACAAGUGGCUGCAACUCCCUCGACUUCAAUAGAAUUGCUCUUAAUUACAAUAGGUGUGAAUUAUUUAUUUGCAUUAUGGUAGAACCCAGAAGGCCUAAAUGCAUAAUAAGAAAGUCCUGGCCAAGAUCUGUUUACAAGCCAAACCGAAACAAGGCAAAACAAAGCAAAAUAACAAGAGGGAGAAAGCAUAAACCUAACAGUGACAAGAUCACACAGUCUCACCGACUAGCUAGUGCACACCUGCAUGAUUCCAAAACUUUUGAAAGUUAAAAACAAUAUAUUAAUGAAUUAUAUUUAUUUGAAAGUACUCUUGUGGUAAGGAUGAGGAUAUAUUCCUGAAGGUGGAGAAAGGAAUUUUUAAAUUCCUUAGAUUUAUUGACUGGAAGACUUAAUUUGUCACCCCCCGUAUGGUUAUUGAAUUCUGUUGUCUGUUUCAGUUAGAUACCUGAACAUGAAUAUUUAAUGCUGCUGGCUGGCUCAGUUAACGUGUUACCUAUGUAUGCAUAUUUAAGGCUGCUGGCUGGUGAUCAUUAUGUUAAGUUUAAUAAAUUGU